rnacentral:rRNA from 1 species
GUAGGUGGCAAGCGUUGUCCGGGAAUUAUUGGGGCGUAAAGCGCGCGCAGGCGGUUCUUUAAGUCUGAUGUGAAAGCCCACGGGCUCAACCGUGGAGGGUCAUUGGAAACUGGAGAACUUGAGUACAGAAGAGGAAAGCGGAAUUCCACGUGUAGCGGUGAAAUGCGUAGAGAUGUGGAGGAACACCAGUGGCGAAGGCGGCUUUCUGGUCUGUAACUGACGCUGAGGCGCGAAAGCGUGGGGAGCAAACAGGAUUAGAUACCCUGGUAGUCCACGCCGUAAACGAUGAGUGCUAAGUGUUAGGGGGCUUCCGCCCCUUAGUGCUGCAGCUAACGCAUUAAGCACUCCGCCUGGGGAGUACGGCCGCAAGGCUG